rnacentral:rRNA from 1 species
UACGGGGGGGGCAAGCGUUGUUCGGAAUUACUGGGCGUAAAGGGUUUGUAGGUGGCUUGCUAAGUCACACGUGAAAUCCCUCAGCUUAACUGGGGAACUGCGUGUGAAACUGGCGAGCUUGAGGACAGGAGAGGAACGCGGAAUUCCAGGUGUAGCGGUGAAAUGCGUAGAUAUGCGGAGGAACACCGAUGGCGAAGGCAAUCCCCUGGACCUGUACUGACGCUCAUGCCCGAAAGCGUGGGGAGCAAACAGG